rnacentral:lncRNA from 1 species
CACAGGUCCAGAUCUGAGCGCCCAUCCCUAAAGCAAUGGUGGUGAGAGGAGGAGGCAGAGAGAGGAGAUCUUGGUGCUCCAUACUAAAACCCUUCCAUGCCCAGUCAGAAAAAGGCCUGAGACCAAGACACUUGGGGAAUCCUCGGAGGGUCUGCAAUCUUCUUUUGGUCCUGUGUUAUGUGGAAGCAUGCAGCAAUCUGGUCUGGAUGAAGAAAAUACCUCAGAAAACCCAAGAGGAAUUUUUGCUUAGACAGUUUCUCUCAUGA